rnacentral:rRNA from 1 species
UAGUAUUAAUGAAAUUUAACGGAUUUGGCGGCAAGAUAACCAUUUAGAGGAACCUGCCCUAUAAACGAUGAACCACGAAAAUCUUACUUUUUUUAGAAAUCAGUUUGUAUACCGUUGUUGGCAGUUAGUUUCUCUAGAAAACUUUCAUUUAUGAAAUAUUCACUGACUUCAAGUAAAGGUGCAGCUUAUAGAAAAGGUAGAGGUGGGUUACAUUUAAAAGAAUAACACGGAUAAAGUUAUUGAAAUUAGCUUUUGAAGGUGGAUUUAAUUGUAAAGUUUAAUAAAACUUGAUAUGAGCUCUGUCUUGUGUACACACCGCCCGUCGCU